CCUCAGUGCUCCAUCUUACAAUGUGGUAUAUGAAUUGGUUGCAAGCAUGUUGUAAUUUGUCUAUGCAAUCACCAUGUCUACUAUAUUCUCCAUGACUAAAAUCCUCUCUAGGUUGAAGGCUGAGACAUGCCCGCCAAGCCUGAAUAACACUGUUCAGUCCUACACCUACAAUUACUGUUAAUUUAUUUAGCACGUAAUUUAAGCAUGAACC